UGGGGUUCCUGGCACGGUGAUUU
rnacentral:miRNA from 1 species